GUGAUUGUGCUCUGCUUGGGUAAGCUAUUUCCAGAAGCUGGGUGGACGUAUAGAGGACUUCUUUGCAACUUUUCUGAUAGAAGAAUCUAACUUAAGAGAUUUUACCCCGAGAUCAAAACACUGUGCUCUAGCUGGCCUCAAUGUUUCUUGGAGGGAGCUUCACUGAGCCCACGGUUUCUGCAGGAGUCCAGAGGACGACCGCUCCAGAUGACAAAACUCUCAAAGGACCUGACACGUCUUAUAUACAGGAAGCGUCUGUGGAAUGGGAUGGAACUAAUUGGAUCAAAGAAGGAUGUGUUGCCUGAUGUUUUUCUUUCUUCAAGCAUUUCAGCCCCUGUGGGGUGAAGCAAUAUUAUCAACAUCAUCAGACCAGACAUGGUGGACAAUGAACUAUCAAAGAAGUCCUACUUCAGCUCCCUAAAUUCCAGCAUUUGUACUGCAUGCAACAUCAAAUGACGUGUAGGAAAAAGAGAAACCCUGAGGAAGUACAGUAAAACCUUGGUUUGCGACCAUAAUUCAUCCCAGAAACAUGCUUGCAAUCCAAAGCACCUGUAUAUCUAAGCGAAUUUCAAGAACCAUUGGCUCAGGGUGAUUAUGGGAUGUUCGGCAUCAUGCACUACUCGCAUUGCAAGACGUCGCUCGUUUAUCAAAUUCAAAUUCCUUAGAAAUGUUUGCUCGUCUUGUGGAGCGCUCACAGAACACGUUCCUCGCAAUCCAAGGUUUUAAUGUAUCAGGGAUUUACACAAAGCAAAUUUCAAGAAAAGAAAUAACUUAAGUAUCGAUGGGGGGAAAAAUAGAAUUAUCUUUAUGCAACCAUUUACUCUAGCUGGUCCUACUUUUUCCAAAAUUGCCCCCUCUCCUUUUUUUUUUUUUUGUAUGAAGUUCUUUCUUAUACAUAUCAUAGGACAACUCUGGUUAGGCUUGUCUCCCCCACCCCCCCUACCCCCACUGUCAGACACACCUGUCUUGGCCAAGUAAUCAGGUUGGUUGCUGCACACAUGUUCCUCUUCCUCCAAUUUCCUAGUCUCCAAUGGUCUUUUUCUGCAUGUCCCCUGAAUUGCAUUUUCCCUCAUCCACUCUCUGUGACUUUGUCAAUUUCCUCUUCUCUUUGGAAGUGUUAUUGCCUAUGCUAAUUGGCUUUCUUUAUUUCAAAUUGAGUAAUUGGGAAACUCCAUAUUAACUAUACAUCGUUUUUGAAUAAUGAGUUCAAACAUCAUUUUGGCAGAGUUUAAUACUUUAUGCAUGCUCCUUGAGAAAUAAUGCACUUGUUAUAUACAACGGAGUAUUACUCGGCGAUCAAAAAGAAUGAAAUCUUGCCAUUUGCGACGACGUGGAUGGAACUGGAGGCUAUUAUGCUAAGUGAAAUUAGUCCGAGAAAGACAAAUAUCCUAUGACUUCACUCAUAGGAGGACUUUAAGAGACAAAGCAGAUGAACAUAAGGGAAGGGA